CGGCGGCGCGCGACUGCUCUGGAGGACCGACCUGGAGCGCCCUCGCCGGGCGCGGCGGCCUGGUCCCGAGCCCCUCUGAUCUCCGCAGCCCGCGGUGCCUGACGUAUGGAGCAUUUGAAAACUCACUAGAUUCAUCUGUUGUUUAAAGGACUCCUGGAGAAAUGACAGUCCCUAGCUGCUGUGUUUAAUUGGAGAGGCACUCAGAGACCCGAGAUGACAAUUAUGACGCCUUAAAUGUCGAGCUCUUCAAAAUUCUGCUGUUGCCCUUGCUGUCACCCUGAACAGCUCUGGGAACCCAAAUUCUGCAGUGCCCCAGAGCAUGCCCUGGGUGUCUCAGUCGGGCCUCACCUGGGAAAUCUGAGGCACAGUGACGCACAGGCAGCAGGAAGACGCACACUAAACCGAGGAGCCUGUGAUGAGCUCAGAAGAGAUUGGCGCAUGAAGACAAAAGAAUCUGCUCUGUUGGGAACCACUCCCCAUGGAGAAGCCACCUGUGACGUGGAACCCAGAGCAUGUCUGCAGCAAUGGCUGAGUGGGAAGGGAGGCAGGACUCGGUGGGCAAACACUGUGCAAACAGUGACAGGCAAGGUCUCUCCCUCUCAGCUACAAGCCGCCAGAGAGGAUCACUCAGGUUGUCAGAGGAGAAGCAGAAGGAGGUUCCCAUUGAA